GGGGAUAUAUUGGAAUGAGGAUUCGUCUGAAGGAAAAUGUAUCUUAGUGGCGGACGGGUGAGUAACGCGUGGGCAACCUACCGUAUACGGGGGGAUAACACUUAAAAAUAGGUGCUAAUACCGGCAUAAGCGCACAGCCAGUGCAUACUGGAGUGUGAAAAGCCGAGACGGUAUACGAUGGGCCCGCGUCUGAUUAGCCAGUUGGCAGGGUAACGGCCUACCAAAGCGACGAUCAGUAGCCGGCCUGAGAGGGCGGACGGCCACAUUGGGACUGAGACACGGCCCAGACUCCUACGGGAGGCAGCAGUGGGGGAUAUUGCACAAUGGGGGGAACCCUGAUGCAGCGACGCCGCGUGAGUGAAGAAGUAAUUCGUUAUGUAAAGCUCUAUCAGCAGGGAAGAAUAAAUGACGGUACCUGAGUAAGAAGCCCCGGCUAACUACGUGCCAGCAGCCGCGGUAAUACGUAGGGGGCAAGCGUUAUCCGGAUUUACUGGGUGUAAAGGGAGCGUAGACGGCGAUGCAAGCCAGAUGUGAAAGCCCGCGGCUCAACUGCGGUAGUGCAUUUGGAACUGUAUGGCUGGAGUGCAGGAGAGGCAGGCGGAAUUCCUAGUGUAGCGGUGAAAUGCGUAGAUAUUAGGAGGAACACCAGUGGCGAAGGCGGCCUGCUGGACUGUAACUGACGUUGAGGCUCGAAAGCGUGGGGAGCAUACAGGAUUAGAUACCCUGGUAGUCCACGCUGUAAACGA
rnacentral:rRNA from 1 species